AUUGAACGCUGGCGGCAGGCCUAACACAUGCAAGUCGAGCGGAUGAAGGGAGCUUGCUCCUGGAUUCAGCGGCGGACGGGUGAGUAAUGCCUAGGAAUCUGCCUGGUAGUGGGGGAUAACGUCCGGAAACGGGCGCUAAUACCGCAUACGUCCUGAGGGAGAAAGUGGGGGAUCUUCGGACCUCACGCUAUCAGAUGAGCCUAGGUCGGAUUAGCUAGUUGGUGGGGUAAAGGCCUACCAAGGCGACGAUCCGUAACUGGUCUGAGAGGAUGAUCAGUCACACUGGAACUGAGACACGGUCCAGACUCCUACGGGAGGCGGCAGUGGGGAAUAUUGGACAAUGGGCGAAAGCCUGAUCCAGCCAUGCCGCGUGUGUGAAGAAGGUCUUCGGACUGUAAAGCACUUUAAGUUGGGAGGAAGGGCAGUAAGUUAAUACCUUGCUGUUUUGACGUUACCAACAGAAUAAGCACCGGCUAACUUCGUG
rnacentral:rRNA from 1 species